rnacentral:lncRNA from 1 species
GGAGUGGAAGGGGUUUGUGCCCCAGAUCAAGCCCGGGUAGCCUGCUUCCCUAUGUACCGCAGUCUCAAGUUCCACGCAAUUGGAUUGGGGUAGGCGCUGUGUUCCACUCACCAGAGGUCUUAGGGUCCCGUGGGGAGUCCCGUGUGGGCCCUUGCGGGUGUUGGGCAAGACUCUGCUGUCAAGGUAGCCCGGGGCUCGAGUCUCGAGUCGAGCGGAAGGGACUUGUGCCCCAGAUCAGGCCCGGGUAGCCUGCUUCCCUAUGUACCGCAGUCUCGAGUUCCGCGCGAUUGGAUUGGGGCAGGCACUGUGAUCCACUCACCAGAGGUCUUAGGGUCCCGUGGGGAGUCCUGUGUGGACCCUUGCGGGUGUUGGGCAAGACUCUGCUGGCAAGGUAGCCCGGGGCUCGAGUCUCGAGUCGAGCGGAAGGGCCAGAAUUUUUCUAAUGCUAUUUUUCCAGCACAGACCCAAACAAUUUCCUAGUUACUUUUUAUUUUAAAAUGAAACAACCUAAAAUCAACUGAGAAAAGGAAAUCUCAACUGAAUAAUUGACUGUAUCAUACUUAUUCAUAGCCAUGUCUGUAGAGAUUGUUUUGACUAAUAAUGGAUAUGGGUAGACUGAAUCAACCAUGGUUGGAGCCAUUUCUGUGUAUCUUGGCCUUGACCCUAUAGGAAAGCUAGGUGGGCAUCCACAGGAGAGCAAGCCACCACAAAUCAAUGUUUCUCCUUGUUUUCUGCUUCAGUUCCUUCCAUGACUUCCCUCAAUAAUGGAUUGUUACCUGGAAGCAAAAACCAAAAAAGCCCUUAUCUGCCCAAGUUUAUCUGGUCAUAAUAUUUUUCAGAGGAAGAGAAGACAAACUAGACAGUUGUCUUCAAUAGCCCGUGUAGCAAGAUAUAUCAGCAAGAAGAUUUUCUUUUAUAGAGAGCAUGAACAUAAAAUUACUAUUUAUAAAGAAGCUGACAUUUUCCAACCUGGUUAAGAUGAAGACAAUGGCUUUUAGAGGUGAGAAAGAAGGAACAAUAUAUCAUUAAUAUGCAUACGACAAAAGGAAUUCAGAGAACAUUAGUUUAACCAUAACUUCUAAAAGUGAAAACAACCUACAUGUUGGUCUUAAAAUUCUCAGCCAAAUGUUAGCCUGCUAGACUAUCAUUGGUCAUGUCAGAAUGGGUUCAGUUAAGGAAAUCUACUUUUUGAAUCACUUUACCCUCUACACAGUCUACUUGUUUCUAGGUAAAAAUGUAACUUAUGUAAUAAGGGAGAAACAGAAAGUAAAUAAAAGCUACAGAAUGCCAUAGACUAUAAAGUAAUUGUAAAUUUAAGAGAAUUAAUCAGUGAAAGUGAUCACUAAAAUAUACAUAUGCACUUACAUAUAAAAAUAUAUAUGUAAAUGUCAUAUGUAUGUAAAUGUGUAUUUAUAUAAUGUAGAAUAUAUAUUUAUAUGUCACAUAUAAAUAUACAUUUACAUAUGUGUAAAUAUAUUUCUUUGCAUAAAAUCAAGUGUUAGAAUUUAUCAAAAUACUAAAUUUUGCCUACAUAUUUCGUGGUAGGGUGUAAAUCAAAAGAUAUAUUAAUUCAAAGUUGCUGCAGAAUAUUGUUUCUCAUCACAAAUAUGCCAUUUCUAAUUACUAGAAAUUAAAAUUUAAUGUCAAGGCAAUACAAUCUUGGUAUCUUGGCUUUAUAUUUGACCAUAAUUACAUUAUUUUAUUGUUGUUAUUUAAUAUUUUAUUACUCAAAUGUGGAAAUUUUUCAUAGUUUUAAACUUAACAUAACAUUCCUGGAAUAUUUACAAUUUAGUAGUUCAUUUCAGGAAUAUUUGGCAAAAUAUUCUAAGUAAAUUUGGCUAUUUCUAUUUUCACAGAAGUUUUUCAAAAUAUUCAAUGUUGUCAAUUGUCUAUUUUAGAAAUUACUAAAUUAUAUAUUGUUCAGAAGUAAUUAAUUUACAAUCAAAUAUUUUACCUAUAAAAGCAUUGUAUUAUGUUAUUAUCGCAUUAUUUCUGUUUGUGUGUUUCACGGGCCUGCAUGCUAUUAUCACAGCAAGUAUCUCAUAGCAUGAAUGUAAAAGUCAAAGUACAACUUGCCAGAAUAGGUUCUUUCAUUCCUGCCUUGUAUGAUCCAUAGCCUGAAAUCAGAUUGGCAGCAUGGACAGCAACACUUGCUGGCAAAAAUAUGUUAAUUUUAUAAACAAUAUUAAAAAAAAUCAAUUGAACAGGUCAUGUAUAUAGUUUUUAUAAUAAUGGACAUAAAAUACACUAAAAUAUAGUUAAUGAGAGUUCCUUUUUGAACAGAACAGAAUAACAUACUAAAUGUUUAUCUUUUUAUUUUCACUCUUUGGGUAUAUAAAAAUGAAUGUAGGUCGUUUAUUGAGACAAAGGGCAAUAAAGUUUUCUUCAUUAGCACAUCCUUGAACUAACUUAUCAAGACUUCACUGUCUUGGAAAUUAAUUUUUUAAAAACCUUAAAGAAUUCUACCACAUGGGAUUCAUUUUUGUCCUAACAUGACUGUAACUAAAUAAAAUGGAGACUGUAGAUAAAUACUUCCAAGUACUAAUUACAUCCUAAGGGACUUUUUUACAUUCGUAAUCACACUUGCUUUAUUUUAUUCAAACAACAGGCUGGAAAUGAUGAUAUCUUUCUCACAGACAUCUACAUACCCCCUCCACACACACACAUAUUCAUAUUUGCUUAUAGAUAUUUCAAUUAUCCAUAAGAUAAUAUAUAUGUGAACUAUUUGUGGAGUGUUGAUAAGUUUAUUUAUUUAUAAUUGAAUAACACAUUUUGAAGAAUACACAUCCAAAGAAAUGUACCAUUGUUUAUUGUCUAUAACACUCAAGACUUUUGCAAAACUAUCAUAUUAUCUCAUUAUCAUCUGACAUGUAAAAGAAACAUAAAAAUUGUAUUGUUUUCUAUUGACAAUAAAUAAUAAAUGUAUGCAUAUUAUUGCCUGAUAUGCUGGUAUUUCAAGUAUUUUUCUAGAUAUAGAUGUUAUUGACUUGGCAUGUGGAAAAUGAUAAAAAAAACCCUCUCAUUUGUAUUUCUAUAAAUUUUAAGCAAAGAAUGGAAAAAUGAAAUAAAGUAUACAUGGCAGUAUAAAUAAUAAUGGUCCCAAUACUGUCAUAUACUUGAAUACUUGGACCCAGUUUGGAGAACUCUUUGGAAGGAGGAAGACAUACAGACUUAGACGAGGAAGAUCAUUGAGUAUAAGCUGUGAGGUUUCAAAAGCCCACAAACACCCAGUUUACUCUCAUCACUUCAUGACUGUGUAAAGAUGAAAGCUCUCAGUUACUACUUGAAAGUCAUUCCUACUUGCCUGUUACAUGCUUCCUGCUAUUUUGGUCACAGAUUUUAACUAUCUGAAAAUAUAAGAGUAAAGUUUUCUAUAAUUUGGCUUGAUUAUGGUGUUUUAUCAUAGCAGUAAAUUAAAAAAUAAAUUAAUUAAUAAUUUUUAAAGAGGAAAAAACAUAACUGAGAAUACAUGUUUGAAUAUGUGGUCACCAUGUGGGGAAAAUAUUUCAGAAGGGUUAUUAGGUAUGUCUUUUAAAAGAUGGAUCACUGGGAAAGAGUUUUGAAUUCUCCAAGCCCAUACCAAUUAGCUUUUUAGGCCUUAUGGUUGUUUGCAAAAUGUAAGCUCUCAGAUGCUGCUUCAGCAUCAUGCCUGUCUGCUGGCUUCCAUGUUCUAUGUUAUAAUCAUCAUAGACUCUAGACCAAUAAAAGUAUAACACCCAAAUAAGCUCUUUUUCUUUAUUUACCUUAGUCAUUGUGGUUUAUGACAACAAUAAAAAAGUAUCUAAGUCAGUAUGUUAAGUGUCAAGGUUUGUAUUGUUUCUGUCCACUGGAAAGUUCUUAGGGACUCUGGAGCCAAAGGUU